GGCUCUUUCAGGGUCCGAGUUGUAAUUUGUAGAAGAUGCUUUGAGUGUAGCUCCGGUCUAAGUUCCUUGGAACAGGACGUCAUAGAGGGUGAGAAUCCCGUACGUGACUGGGUGCUUUCGCUCGUGUAAAGCUCUUUCAACGAGUCGAGUUGUUUGGGAAUGCAGCUCAAAAUGGGUGGUAAAUUUCAUCUAAAGCUAAAUAUUGGCCAGAGACCGAUAGCGCACAAGUAGAGUGAUCGAAAGAUGAAAAGCACUUUGGAAAGAGAGUUAAACAGUACGUGAAAUUGUUGAAAGGGAAGCGCUUGCAACCAGACUUGCAUGCUGUUGAUCAUCCGAGAGUUUUCCCGGUGCACUCGGCAGUAUUCAGGCCAGCAUCGGUUUUGGUGGGCGGAUAAAGGCCUUGGGAAUGUAGCUUCUUUCGGGGAGUGUUAUAGCCCUCGGUGCAAUGCGCCCUACCGGGACCGAGGACCGCGCUUCGGCUAGGAUGCUGGCGUAAUGGUUGUAAGCGACCCGUCUUGAAACACGGACCAAGGAGUCUAACAUCUAUGCGAGUGUUUGGGUGUCAAACCCAUACGCGUAAUGAAAGUGAACGGAGGUGAGAACCCUUAAGGGUGCAUCAUCGACCGAUCCUGAUGUCUUCGGAUGGAUUUGAGUAAGAGCAUAGCUGUUGGGACCCGAAAGAUGGUGAACUAUGCCUGAAUAGGGUGAAGCCAGAGGAAACUCUGGUGGAGGCUCGCAGCGGUUCUGACGUGCAAAUCGAUCGUCAAAUU
rnacentral:rRNA from 1 species